UACGUAGGGUGCAAGCGUUGUCCGGAAUUACUGGGCGUACAGCGCGCGCAGGCGGACUCCCACGUGCCGUGUGACAAGCCACCGCUCAACGGUGGAGGGCCAGGGUACACGAGGGGUCUGGAGGCAGGGAGAGGGAUGUGGAAUGCCCGGUGGAGCGGUGAAAUGCGUAGAGAUCGGGCGGAACACCAGCGGCGAAGGCGGCAUCCUGGUCCUGUACUGACGCUGAGGCGCGAGAGCGUGGGGAGCGAACUGG
rnacentral:rRNA from 1 species